GGGGCAUUAGCUCAGCUGGGAGAGCGCUUGCAUGGCAUGCAAGAGGUCACCGGUUCGAGCCCGGUAUGCUCCA
rnacentral:tRNA from 1 species